rnacentral:rRNA from 1 species
UACGUAGGGUGCAAGCGUUAAUCGGAAUUACUGGGCGUAAAGCGUGCGUAGGCGGUUCGUUAAGUUCGUUGUGAAAGCCCCGGGCUCAACCUGGGAACUGCAAUGGAAACUGGCGGGCUUGAGUGUGGCAGAGGGGGGUGGAAUUCCACGUGUAGCAGUGAAAUGCGUAGAGAUGUGGAGGAAUACCGAUGGCGAAGGCAGCCCCCUGGGCCAAUACUGACGCUGAGGAGCGAAAGCGUGGGGAGCGAACAGG